GUCGAGAAUAAUUCACAAUGGGGGAAACCCUGAUGGUGCAACGCCGCGUGGAGGAUGAAGGUCUUCGGAUUGUAAACUCCUGUCAUCUGGGAGUAAGACCUGACGGUGAAUAGCCGGCAGGGUUGAUAGUAUCGGAAGAGGAAGGGACGGCUAACUUCGUGCCAGCAGCCGCGGUAAUACGAAGGUCCCAAGCGUUGUUCGGAAUCACUGGGCGUAAAGGGAGCGUAGGCUGCGCGGUAAGUCAGGUGUGAAAUCCCGGGGCUCAACCCCGGAACUGCACCCGAUACUGCCGUGCUAGAGGGUUGGAGAGGUGACUGGAAUUCUCGGUGUAGCAGUGAAAUGCGUGGAUAUCGAGAGGAACACUCGUGGCGAAGGCGAGUCACUGGACAACAUCUGACGCUGAGGCUCGAAGGCCAGGGGAGCAAAAGGGAUUAGAUACCCCAGUAGUCC
rnacentral:rRNA from 1 species